AAUAGAUACCCCGGUAGUCCACGCCCUAAACGAUGUCGACUAGGUGUUGGGGAAGGAGACUUCCUUAGUACCGCAGCUAACGCGUGAAGUCGACCGCCUGGGGAGUACGGUCGCAAGAUUAAAACUCAAAGGAAUUGACGGGGACCCGCACAAGCGGUGGAUGAUGUGGAUUAAUUCGAUGCAACGCGAAAAACCUUACCUACCCUUGACAUGUACGGAAGUCCGCUGAGAGGUGGAUGUGCCCGAAAGGGAGCCGUAACACAGGUGCUGCAUGGCUGUCGUCAGCUCGUGUCGUGAGAUGUUGGGUUAAGUCCCGCAACGAGCGCAACCCUUGCCAUUAGUUGCCACAUUCAGUUGGGCACUCUAAUGGGACUGCCGGUGACAAACCGGAGGAAGGUGGGGAUGACGUCAAGUCCUCAUGGCCCUUAUGGGUAGGGCCUCACACGUCAUACAAUGGCGCGUACAGAGGGUUGCCAACCCGGCGAGGGGGGAGCCGAAUCCCAGAAAGCGCGUCGUAGUCCGGAUUGGAGUCUGCAACUCGACUCC
rnacentral:rRNA from 1 species